GAUGAAGAACGUAGCGAAAUGCGAUAAGUAAUGUGAAUUGCAGAAUUCAGUGAAUCAUCGAAUCUUUGAACGCACAUUGCGCCCGCCAGUAUUCUGGCGGGCAUGCCUGUCCGAGCGUCAUUUCAACCCUCGAACCCCUCCGGGGGGUCGGCGUUGGGGAUCGGCCCUUUACGGGGCCGGCCCCGAAAUACAGUGGCGGUCUCGCCGCAGCCUCUCCUGCGCAGUAGUUUGCACACUCGCAUCGGGAGCGCGGCGCGUCCACAGCCGUUAAACACCCCAAACUUCUGAAAUGUUGACCUCGGAUCAGGUAGGAAUACCCGCUGAACUUAAGCAUAUCAAAAGCGGAGGA
rnacentral:misc_RNA from 1 species